rnacentral:rRNA from 1 species
ACAAGUAGUUAGAGCCCGUUAAUGGGUGAUAGCGUGCCUUUUGUAGAAUGAACCGGCGAGUUACGAUUUGUUGCAAGGUUAAGCGGAAAAAGCGGAGCCGUAGCGAAAGCGAGUCUGAAUAGGGCGCAUAAGUAACAGGUCGUAGACCCGAAACCAGGUGAUCUACCCAUGUCCAGGAUGAAGGUAAGGUAAUACUUACUGGAGGUCCGAACCCACGCACGUUGAAAAGUGCGGGGAUGAGGUGUGGGUAGCGGAGAAAUUCCAAUCGAACUUGGAGAUAGCUGGUUCUCUCCGAAAUAGCUUUAGGGCUAGCCUCGAGGUAAAGAGUCAUGGAGGUAGAGCACUGUUUGGACUAGGGGCCCUUCUCGGGUUACCGAAUUCAGAUAAACUCCGAAUGCCAUGUACUUAUACUCGGGAGUCAGACUGCGAGUGAUAAGAUCCGUAGUCGAAAGGGAAACAGCCCAGACCACCAGUUAAGGUCCCCAAAUAUAUGUUAAGUGGAAAAGGAUGUGGGGUUGCUUAGACAACCAGGAUGUUGGCUUAGAAGCAGCCACCAUUGAAAGAGUGCGUAAUAGCUCACUGGUCGAGUGACCCCGCGCCGAAAAUGUACCGGGGCUAAACAUAUUACCGAAACUGUGGAUGAACCUCUUUAGAGGUUCGUGGUAGGAGAGCGUUCUAAGGGCGGUGAAGUCAGACCGGAAGGACUGGUGGAGCGCUUAGAAGUGAGAAUGCCGGUAUGAGUAGCGAAAGAAGGGUGAGAAUCCCUUCCACCGAAUAUCUAAGGUUUCCUGAGGAAGGCUCGUCCGCUCAGGGUUAGUCGGGACCUAAGCCGAGGCCGAUAGGCGUAGGCGAUGGACAACAGGUAGAGAUUCCUGUACCAGUGCUAAUUGUUUAACCGAUGGGGUGACACAGAAGGAUAGGGAAUCGCACGAAUGGAAAUGUGCGUCCAAGCAGUGAGUGUGAGAAGUAGGCAAAUCCGCUUCUCGCGAAGCAUGAGCUGUGAUGGGGAAGGAAAUUAAGUACGGAAGUUCCUGAUUUCACGCUGUCAAGAAAAGCCUCUAGGAAGAGUAGUACUGCCCGUACCGCAAACCGACACAGGUAGAUGAGGAGAGAAUCCUAAGGUGAGCGAGAGAACUCUCGUUAAGGAACUCGGCAAAAUGACCCCGUAACUUCGGGAGAAGGGGUGCUCUAUUAGGGUGCAAGCCCGAGAGAGCCGCAGUGAAUAGGCCCAGGCGACUGUUUAGCAAAAACACAGGUCUCUGCAAAACCGUAAGGUGACGUAUAGGGGCUGACGCCUGCCCGGUGCUGGAAGGUUAAGAGGAGUGCUUAGCUUCGGCGAAGGUACGAAUUGAAGCCCCAGUAAACGGCGGCCGUAACUAUAACGGUCCUAAGGUAGCGAAAUUCCUUGUCGGGUAAGUUCCGACCCGCACGAAAGGCGCAACGAUCUGGGCACUGUCUCAACGAGAGACUCGGUGAAAUUAUAGUACCUGUGAAGAUGCAGGUUACCCGCGACAGGACGGAAAGACCCCGUGGAGCUUUACUGCAACCUGAUAUGGAAUGUUUGUACCGCUUGUACAGGAUAGGUAGGAGCCGAAGAGACGUGUGCGCUAGCAUACGAGGAGGCAAUGGUGGGAUACUACCCUGGCUGUAUGACCAUUCUAACCCGCCACGCUUAGCGCGUGGGGAGACAGUGUCAGGUGGGCAGUUUGACUGGGGCGGUCGCCUCCUAAAGAGUAACGGAGGCGCCCAAAGGUUCCCUCAGAAUGGAUGGAAAUCAUUCGCAGAGUGUAAAGGCACAAGGGAGCUUGACUGCGAGACUGACAAGUCGAGCAGGGACGAAAGUCGGGCUUAGUGAUCCGGUGGUUCCGCAUGGAAGGGCCAUCGCUCAACGGAUAAAAGCUACCCCGGGGAUAACAGGCUUAUCUCCCCCAAGAGUCCACAUCGACGGGGAGGUUUGGCACCUCGAUGUCGGCUCGUCGCAUCCUGGGGCUGUAGUCGGUCCCAAGGGUUGGGCUGUUCGCCCAUUAAAGCGGCACGCGAGCUGGGUUCAGAACGUCGUGAGACAGUUCGGUCCCUAUCCGUCGCGGGCGCAGGAAAUUUGAGAGGAGCUGUCCUUAGUACGAGAGGACCGGGAUGGACACACCGCUGGUGUACCAGUUGUUCCGCCAGGAGCAUCGCUGGGUAGCUAUGUGUGGCAGGGAUAAACGCUGAAAGCAUCUAAGCGUGAAGCCCCCCUCAAGAUGAGAUUUCC